GACGAACGCUGGCGGCGUGCUUAACACAUGCAAGUCGAACGAGUGGCGAACGGGUGAGUAAUACGUGAGUAACCUGCCCUCUUUUUGGGAUAAGCCUUGGAAACGGGGUCUAAUACCGAAUAACGGGGGUUGGGGUCGUGGCCUAUCAGGUGGUUGGGGGGGUGAGGGCCUACCAAGUCGGUGACGGGUAGCCGGCCUGAGAGGGUGACCGGCCCCCGUGGAAUGGGGUUACGGCGCAGACUGCGACGGGAGGCAGCAGUGGGGGAUAGUGCACAAUGGGCGAGAGCCUGAUGCAGCGACGCCGCGUGGGGGAUAUGGGCUUUCGGGUGGUGAACCUCUUUCGCUAUCGAAGGGUAGGUGGAGAAGAAGCGCCGGCUAACUACGUGCCAGCAGCCGCGGUAAUAC
rnacentral:rRNA from 1 species